GGGAAAAGAAGAAAAAUUUAGAACAACUCUCAAUCCUAAACUAGAAUUAAGACACAUGAAUAUUCUCCUAUAAGACAGAAUUUAUCCAAAGCAUGAUCUUUUCAACCUUUGUAUUUGAGGAUAAAAGUGUGACUUCCAACAGUGUGCGCUAAAUCUGGCACUUACUUCCGAUGUAUCAGGGCAUUUUCCCCCUGGACUUUGUUUCUUCAGCUAAAAAACAUGACCUUUGACUUUCUGAGCAGCUGUAUAUAUUUUUCGAAGAUCAAUCAGGGGAAAAAAAUCACUGGAAAUGGCAAGUGGAUGGGACAGUGCUGCACAGUGUAAAUGACAGCUGAAGGUUGACAAAAACGCAGCCCCCACUUCAGUUCACUGCUCUGUAGCAAAUGUCUCAGUUACUCAUAGAACUAAGCCACUCUGAAGGACAUUCUGGCAGAAAUACUCCUGCCUGCUUUUUAAAAAGAAUGUGUGGUGGGUGAUGGUGGAAUGGCGGGGAAGGUGGAGUGGAAACUCUAAACAUUUGCUCCUAUCUGUCAGAAAUCAUCAUCUGAGAUAAUUUUAUUAUUAGGGAGGGAAAGCAAACCUCAAGCCGUUGCUUUGACCACAGAGGCCAGAGGUGUUUGUGUUUGUUUCAAGAUAUUGAGUCCGGAGUUGAGAUCUGGUAUUUUGCUGGUGACUGCUGAAGAGGAGGGAUUUGGCUCCUGGCAGAACAUAAAGCCAAGCUGACAACAAAGCUUUCCUUUCAAGCUAUCCAAAUGAACACAUUUCUAAUCUGAAAUUCAAAUACUUGACAACAGAGAGCCUGUGAGCUGGGCUUUGAACAGGAAAUUGCUUCAUGGUUUUAGCAUAAUGAAUUAGGCAGUUAGACUAAAUCCAUUUAGCAGGAAAAGAAUGCUUUCACAUGCUAGUGAAAGAAAGGAGGGGGGCAAAACCUUCUUAAUUUCCCAAAUUUCACAGGACUUACAGACACAAAUGCUCCAUAUAAAUUUUAUCUGUUGUGUUCUAUAAUUGGUAUGUAAAAAACCGUCAGGUCCUGGUAUUCAGAAAUCACCUUUGUUAGAAAAUGCUGCGCCUUUUAAUGUUGGGGAAACUGAAUGUGAUGAAUAAAGGUUAACAGUUCUCAUCUUUCUCCGCGUCCUGUUCUUUCCAUGCCAGUGGUGAAUGCAUUUUAAUUCUGGAACUCUUUUUUAGUGGCUGCCAGUGUUAAGUUCAACAGAUACAAUAUUGCACUCUUUUGGGGAACAGGGAAGAGAUGGGGAAGAAGAGAGGAAUCCUCUCGCCUUCCUGGACACUGGGCUGAGAAUUGCACCUCUGAAUCUCAGUCCUGAACACAGGAGGAGCUGCCCAGUCAUCCGGGCUUGUGACAACAGAGGUGGGGGCGAGGGAGGGGUAAAGUUUGCUUGUGUCAGGUCCAUGUAACAAGAUUGACCUUGAGAGAGCCUGUUGACAGACAUCCCUUGGGAAGGAGAGAGCUAGAGAAAAUGAAAAACUUUUAAAAAGGAAGAAACAAAGAAAAGCAACAGUACUAAUAGCAUAAACAAGACAAAGAUCCUGAGAGAGGAGAGGGUUAAAUCCUGUCCCAGGGACGCUCGCAGAGAGGAGGGUUGAUCUGUAACCAGCCACAGCAGCACUUCC
rnacentral:lncRNA from 1 species